rnacentral:rRNA from 1 species
UACGUAGGGACCAAGCGUUGUCCGGAUUCAUUGGGCGUAAAGAGCUCGUAGGCGGUUUGAUAAGUCGGGUGUGAAACCUCCAGGCUCAACCUGGAGACGCCACCCGAUACUGUCGUGACUAGAGUCCAGUAGGGGAGCGUGGAAUUCCUGGUGUAGCGGUGAAAUGCGCAGAUAUCAGGAGGAACACCAGCGGCGAAGGCGGCGCUCUGGGCUGGAACUGACGCUGAGGAGCGAAAGCUAGGGGAGCGAACGGG